GACGAACGCUGGCGGCGCGCCUAACACAUGCAAGUCGAACGAGCGGGCGGAGGUUUACUUUCUCAAGCGAUUGGCGAACGGGUGAGUAACGCGUGAGGAACCUGCCUCUAAGAGGCGGACAACAGUUGGAAACGACUGCUAAUACCGCAUAAGCUCACUUCCCCCCCUCGGGUAAAGGGAAAAGGAGCAAUACGCUUUGAGAUGUCAUCGCGUCCGAUUAGCUUGAUGGUGAGGUUAUGGCCCCUCAAUGCCACGAUCGCUAGCCGGACUGAGAGGUUGAACGGCCACAUUGGGACUGAGACACGGCCCAGAAUCCUACGGGAGGCAGCAGUGGGGAAUAUUGCACCAUGGGGGAAACCAUGAUGCAGCGACGACGGGUGGAGGAAGAAGGUCUGCGGAUUGUAAACUCCUGUUGUUGAGGAAGAUAAUGACGGUACUCAACAAGGAAGUGACGGCUAACUACGUG
rnacentral:rRNA from 1 species